rnacentral:rRNA from 1 species
CCUGGUUGAUCCUGCCAGUAAUCAUAUGCUUGUCUCAAAGAUUAAGCCAUGCAUGUCUAAGUACAUGCCGAAAUAAGGCGAAACCGCGAAUGGCUCAUUAAAUCAGUUAUGGUUCCUUAGAUCGUUUCUUCCUACUUGGAUAACUGUGGCAAUUCUAGAGCUAAUACAUGCAGUGAGCCUGGAGCCCUUUGGGUAACGGGUGCUUUUAUUAGACCAAGAUCGAUCGGGUUUCGGCCCGUAUUGUGUGGUGACUCUGGAUAACUUUGUGCUGAUCGCAUGGCCACGAGCCGGCGACGUUUCUUUCAAGUGUCUGCCUUAUCAACUUUCGAUGGUAGGUUACUUGCUUACCAUGGUUGUUACGGGUAACGGAGAAUCAGGGUUCGAUUCCGGAGAGGGAGCCUGAGAAACGGCUACCACAUCCAAGGAAGGCAGCAGGCGCGCAAAUUACCCACUCCCGGCACGGGGAGGUAGUGACGAAAAAUAACAAUACGGGACUCUUUUGAGGCCCCGUAAUUGAAAUGAGUACACUCUAAAUCCUUUAACGAGGAUCAAUUGGAGGGCAAGUCUGGUGCCAGCAGCCGCGGUAAUUCCAGCUCCAAUAGCGUAUACUAAAGCUGCUGCGGUUAAAAAGCUCGUAGUUGGAUCUCAGUUCCAGACGAGUAGUGCAUCUACCCGAUGCGACGGCUCAGACUGAACAUCAUGCCGGUUCUUUCUUGGUGCACUUCAUUGUGUGCCUCGAGAUGGCCGGUGCUUUUACUUUGAAAAAAUUAGAGUGCUCAACGCAGGCGAGUCGCCUGAAUAAACUUGCAUGGAAUAAUAGAACAAGACCUCGUUUCUGUUCUGUUGGUUUUUGGAAUACGAGGUAAUGAUUAAGAGGGACGGACGGGGGCAUUCGUAUUGCGGCGCUAGAGGUGAAAUUCUUGGACCGUCGCAAGACGAACUACUGCGAAAGCAUUUGCCAAGAAUGUUUUCAUUGAUCAAGAACGAAAGUCAGAGGUUCGAAGGCGAUCAGAUACCGCCCUAGUUCUGACCAUAAACGAUGCCAACCAGCGAUCCGCCUGAGUUACUCAAAUGACUCGGCGGGCAGCUUCCGGGAAACCAAAGUAUUUGGGUUCCGGGGGAAGUAUGGUUGCAAAGCUGAAACUUAAAGGAAUUGACGGAAGGGCACCACCAGGAGUGGAGCCUGCGGCUUAAUUUGACCCAACACGGGAAAACUUACCCGGCCCGGACACUGGGAGGAUUGACAGAUUGAGAGCUCUUUCUUGAUUCGGUGGAUGGUGGUGCAUGGCCGUUCUUAGUUGGUGGAGCGAUUUGUCUGGUUAAUUCCGAUAACGAACGAGACUCUAGCCUAUUAAAUAGGUGCGGGGUUCCCAGCACCUUACAACCUUCUUAGAGGGACAAGCGGCUCCUAGCCGCACGAAACAGAGCAAUAACAGGUCUGUGAUGCCCUUAGAUGUCCGGGGCCGCACGCGCGCUACACUGAAGGAAGCAGCGUGUCUUUAUCCCUGUCUGAAAAGACUGGGUAACCCGUGGAACUUCUUUCGUGAUUGGGAUAGGGGCUUGCAAUUGUUCCCCUUGAACGAGGAAUUCCCAGUAAGCGCGAGUCAUAAGCUCGCGUUGAUUACGUCCCUGCCCUUUUGUACACACCGCCCGUCGCUACUACCGAUUGAAUGAUUUAGUGAGGUCUUCGGACCGAUGUCCGGCGCGGCCUUUCGGUUGCGCCGGUCUGUUGGAAAGAUGACCAAACUUGAUCAUUUAGAGGAAGUAAAAGUCGUAACAAGGUUUCCGUAGGUGAACCUGCGGAAG